GCCCAGCCAGUGAAAGGGGGCUGUGUCUGAAACAAAGACCGCGGUCGCUGCAUCGUCAGAGAGCUGCAAGAGGGAGGCAGCAAGGCGCGGCCACCAGCAGUGACACCAUGUGACCGGCACGGCUCACUGACACGCAGCUUUGGUUAAAGAGCGGGCGCACAGGAGGGGAGGAGACCGCGCGCGGGACGGGGAGGAAUGGCCUGUCCGCGUUAAACCAUCACAAGCCAUGGUUGCGGAAGGGCCACGCGUCCCCCAGUAGGAGAAUGACUCCGAUUCGUGACCCUCAGCACCGGUGCAUGUCGAUGUAAG
rnacentral:sRNA from 1 species